ACGGGGUGCAGCAGGCGCGAAACCUUUGCAAUGUGCGAAAGCACGACAAGGUUAAUCCGAGUGUCUCCUGCUAAAGGAGUCUUUUGUCAGUUGUAGAAUCACUGAUGAAUAAGGGGUGGGCAAGUUCUGGUGUCAGCCGCCGCGGUAAAACCAGCACCUCGAGUGGUCAGGAGGUUUAUUGGGCCUAAAGCAUCCGUAGCCGGUUGCAUAAGUUUUCGGUUAAAUCUAUGCGCUCAACGUAUAGGCCGCCGAAAAUACUGUGCAGCUAGGGAGUGGGAGAGGUACACGGUACUCAAUAGGAAGGGGUAAAAUCCUUUGAUCUAUUGAUGACCACCUGUGGCGAAGGCGGUGUACCAGAACACGUUCGACGGUGAGGGAUGAAAGCUGGGGGAGCAAACCGGAUUAGAUACCCGGGUAGUCCCAGCUGUAAACGAUGCAGACUCGGUGAUGCAUUGGCUUGUGGCCAAUGCAGUGCCGCAGGGAAGCCGUUAAGUCUGCCGCCUGGGAAGUACGUACGCAAGUAUGAAACUUAAAGGACUUGGCGGGCGAGCAC
rnacentral:rRNA from 2 species